rnacentral:rRNA from 1 species
CCCUUAGAUGUUCUGGGCCGCACGCGCGCUACACUGGUGCAGUCAACAAGCUUUCGCAACGAACCUUGGUCGGAAGGCCCGGGGAAUCUUCGAAACUGCAUCGUGAUGGGGAUAGAUUCUUGUAAUUUUUAAUCUUCAACGAGGAAUUCCUAGUAAACGCAAGUCAUCAGCUUGCAUUGAUUACGUCCCUGCCCUUUGUACACACCGCCCGUCGCACCUACCGAUUGAAUGGUCCGGUGAAAUCUCGGGACGGCGGCUUGGUCGCUUGCGUCCGACUGCUGAAACUUGAUUAAACCAUNUNAUUUAGNGGAAGGUGAANUCGUANCA